CCUACGGGAGGCAGCAGUGGGGAAUUUUACGCAAUGGGCGAAAGCCUGACGUAGCGACACCGCGUGAGCGAAGAAGCCCUUUGGGGUGUAAGACUCUGUCAGCUGGAACGAAAAAAAUGACGGUACCAGCAGAGGAAGCAUCGGCUAACUACGUGCCAGCAGCCGCGGUAAGACGUAGGAUGCAAGCGUUGUCCGGAUUUAUUGGGCGUAAAGAGUUCGUAGGUGGUUUGUUAAGUUUGGUGUUAAAGAUUGGGGCUCAACCCUGAAACUGCACUGAAUACUGGCAGACUCGAGUGUGGUAGAGGCUAGUGGAAUUCCCAGUGUAGCGGUGAAAUGCGUAGAUAUUGGGAAGAACACCGGUGGCGUAGGCGACUAGCUGGGCCAUAACUGACACUGAGGAACGAAAGCCAGGGGAGCGAAUGGGAUUAGAUACCCCAGUAGUCCUGGCCGUAAACGAUGGAUACUAGGCGUAUCGGGUAUCGACCCCUGAUGUGCCGCAGCUAACGCGAUAAGUAUCCCGCCUGAGUAGUACGGCCGCAAGGUUGAAACUCAAAGGAAUUGACGG
rnacentral:rRNA from 1 species